rnacentral:rRNA from 1 species
GACAGAGGGUGCAAACGUUGUUCGGAAUUACUGGGCGUAAAGCGCAUGUAGGCGGCAACGCAAGUCGGGCGUGAAAUCCCACGGCUCAACCGUGGAAGUGCACUCGAAACUGCGUAGCUAGAGUCCUGGAGAGGAAGGUGGAAUGCUUGGUGUAGAGGUGAAAUUCGUAGAUAUCAAGCGGAACACCGGUGGCGAAGGCGGCCUUCUGGACAGUGACUGACGCUGAGAUGCGAAAGCGUGGGGAGCAAAAGGG